rnacentral:sRNA from 1 species
AACUCUUCAAUAGCCAUUGAUUGAAGUC